GCUCUGCCGUUGGUGACUCGGCAGGCCGAUCACUUUUCUUGUGGUCAGCCGUUUAUUCCUGCUUUGGCAAAUACACUACGCGGUUCGUCAGAAGGGGGAGUAGCCUUUGUUGAUUGGUCGAAACCCCUGGACGGC
rnacentral:ncRNA from 1 species